UACGAAGGGGGCUAGCGUUGCUCGGAAUCACUGGGCGUAAAGCGCACGUAGGCGGCUUCUUAAGUCAGGGGUGAAAUCCUGGAGCUCAACUCCAGAACUGCCUUUGAUACUGGGAGGCUCGAGUCCGGAAGAGGUGAGUGGAACUGCGAGUGUAGAGGUGAAAGUGACGCAGAUAUCGGGAAGAACACCCGUGGCGAAGGCGGCUCUCUGGGACGGUACUGACGCUGAGACGCGAAAGCGUGGGGAGCGAACAGG
rnacentral:rRNA from 1 species